rnacentral:tRNA from 1 species
AGUGCCAUUUUAAGCACGACUCAAAAUCGUGUUCCCUCUGGGAGUGUGGGUUCGACUCCCACCAUCGGCACCA